rnacentral:rRNA from 1 species
GGCUCAGGAUGAACGCUAGCGGGAGGCUUAACACAUGCAAGUCGAGGGGCAGCAUAAGGUAGCAAUACUUGAUGGCGACCGGCGCACGGGUGAGUAACACGUAUGCAACCUACCCUGUACUGGGGGAUAGCCCGGAGAAAUUCGGAUUAAUACCCCAUAAUAAUAUUAUAAGGCAUCUUUAAAUAUUUAAAGCUUCGGCGGUACGGGAUGGGCAUGCGGAACAUUAGCUUGUUGGUAGGGUAACGGCCUACCAAGGCUACGAUGUUUAGGGGACCUGAGAGGGUGAUCCCCCACACUGGUACUGAGACACGGACCAGACUCCUACGGGAGGCAGCAGUGAGGAAUAUUGGUCAAUGGGCGCAAGCCUGAACCAGCCAUCCCGCGUUAGAAGGAAGAAGGCGCUAUGCGUCGUAAACUUCUUUUCCAGGGGAAGAAAACCUGAUACGAGUAUCGGCUUGCCGGUACCCUGGGAAUAAGCAUCGGCUAACUCCGUGCCAGCCGCAGC